rnacentral:ncRNA from 1 species
AGUCGGGUGCCGGAUUAUUAUCCGGAUAAUAGGGAAACAGGUGUGAAUCCUGUGCGAACUCGUCACUGUGUACCGGAAAUAUGCUCCAGAUCAGUCACUGCGAAAGCGGGAAGGCGGAGUGUGUGAAAAAAAUCCGGAAGCCAGGAAACCUGCCAGACUG